rnacentral:tRNA from 1 species
AGAGCGUCGGUCUUGUAAUCCGGCCGCCGGAGGUUAAAGCCCUCCCUACUGC